UACAGAGGUCCCAAGCGUUGUUCGGAUUCACUGGGCGUAAAGGGUGCGUAGGUGGUGAGGAAAGUCUGAUGUGAAAUCUCCGAGCUCAACUCGGAAACGGCAUUGGAAACUACCUCGCUGGAGGGUUGGAGGGGGGACUGGAAUACUUGGUGUAGCAGUGAAAUGCGUAGAGAUCAAGAGGAAUACCAGAGGCGAAGGCGGCGAACUGGACAGUAACUGACACUAAACUACGAAAGCGUGGGGAGCAAACAGG
rnacentral:rRNA from 1 species